rnacentral:lncRNA from 1 species
CCCGCAUUAUCUCUUUUCAAAUGGUGACCUUGGAUAAGAUAGGUUUCAUUAAUCAUGGUGCGUGGAAUUUGAAUAUAAUCAAGAUCUUGCCCUUCCAACGCACCAAUGGCCGUGGCCACACGUGUUAUGAGUGAAGUCAAAGAGACAGGGGUGGUUGUCUUGAUUAUAUCUAACCAAUGCCUUACAAUUUCUUGCACAGGCGCAACUUUUAUUUUCAUUCUAGCUGCGUAAAGUAACCUCAUUUUAUUUACUCGCACAACACGGUAUCCUAGCUAGGAAACAUUGUUAUGGAUAGCCAAAGGUGUAAAAACCCUAGAGUGGGGUGUUGGAUGUGGGCAUUUCUAGGAUAGUAUUUUCUAGUGUGAACUUGCCCCGUGAUUUCUUCCCAAAACUUAUCCUUAUUAAACCCUUUUGUGGCAUGCACUAAAUCAAGAGAGCUUCUUUGAUGAAAACCAAGAUAUUUGCUUAAGUCUUUCCAAAAGAUAGCAUAUUCAUUUCCAAAUAAACGAACAGAAAUACCUUCAUAUGUUUCUCUUAAAGUGCAUAGGAAUUGAAUGGUAAGGGUAUAGGAUCCAUACUCAGU